AUUGAACGCUAGCGGCAUGCUUUACACAUGCAAGUCGAACGAGUGGCGGACGGGUGAGUAAUGUAUGGGAACGUGCCCAAUGGCGGGGGAUAACUACUGGAAACGGUAGCUAAUACCGCAUACUAUUGGAGCGGCCGAUAUGGGAUUAGCUAGUUGGUGGGGUAAAGGCUCACCAAGGCGACGAUCCCUAGCUGGUCUGAGAGGAUGACCAGCCACACUGGGACUGAGACACGGCCCAGACUCCUACGGGAGGCAGCAGUGGGGAAUAUUGGACAAUGGGCGAAAGCCUGAUCCAGCCAUCCCGCGUGUAUGAAGAAGGCCUUCGGGUUGUAAAGUACUUUCGGCAGAGAGGCGGUAUCCGCAGAAUAAGCACCGGCUAACUACGUGCCAGCAGCCGCGGUAAUAC
rnacentral:rRNA from 1 species